rnacentral:rRNA from 1 species
CCUGCCAGUGACACAUGUUUAACGGCCGCGGUAUCCUAACCGUGCGAAGGUAGCGUAAUCACUUGUUCUUUAAAUGAGGACUAGUAUGAACGGCACCACGAAGGUUAUACUGUCUCCUUUCUCCAAUCAGUAAAACUAAUCUCCCCGUGAAGAAGCGAGGAUAAAUUUAUAAGACGAGAAGACCCUAUGGAGCUUUAAACUAACCAGCAUUUGCUAUAUACAAAUUUUAACUUUAGACAAUCUAGCCCUCUGACUGGUAAUUUUCGAUUGGGGUGAUCACGGAACAAAAAAUAACCUCCGUGUCGAAAGGAUAAACCUGAGCAAAAAGCGACAGCUUUCCGCACUAAAAAAUUAAUGACCCAAUAUUUUGAUCAACGAACCAAGUUACCCUAGGGAUAACAGCGCAAUCUACUUCAAGAGUCCCUAUCGACAAGUAGGUUUACGACCUCGAUGUUGGAUCAGGGUACCCCAGUGGUGCAGCCGCUACUAAAGGUUCGUUUGUUCAACGAUUAAUACCCUACGUGAUCUG